rnacentral:misc_RNA from 1 species
AGGAGAAAUUGAUAAGAGUCAAAAUUGACGAUUUUACAGUAUUUUUGUUUCACAUUAUUCUUGAAAUCAAAAAUAGCACCUCAGCUUUAUAAGUUUCAAUUUGAAAAAAAAGACAGAAUUUAAGCCAUGUUGCUGUGUGGAAUCUCUGAUGACAAUCAGCCAAUAUUGAAUGACUGAUCAUGCCAUAAAUCUAUGUGAUAACAUGUCAGCCGUGUGGAGUACAUUAUAUACAAUCUGUGACUGUGUUUCCAGUCUUUUGGUAGGAAACUGUUUCUGUUGACCAGAUGUAGUAGUUCCUCUAGACACAAUAAACUCAUGCUGCAUCUCC